rnacentral:lncRNA from 1 species
GACUGGGAGCGACGAUCACUCUUCGUCCAAUAGUUUCACUUCCCUUCCUGAAGAAGCGGGUGACGUAAGAUGAACAGUGAGUGAGUGAGUCAUCACUACCCCUGGAACAAGUUGCUGGAACUGAGAGUAGUGACUAGUGAGUACUGAUGUUUCGUCUCUCGCAUUUCUCUCUAUUCGGCUGAAAUUUUUCUCACUUCCACUAGUACAGCUAGUGCUUCCUCUUCCGCGAGACAACAAUUCCUCUCUUCCAUUUCAGUUCCGGAUACUUCUUUGCUUCCUGAUUUAGGAAAAAUGACGGAUNNN